UACGGAGGGGGCAAGCGUUGUUCGGAAUUAUUGGGCGUAAAGAGUAUGUAGGCGGCUAGAUAAGUCAGACGUGUAAGCCCACGGCUCAACCGUGGAAUUGCGUUUGAAACUAUUUAGCUUGAGUGCAGGAGAGGAAGGCGGAAUUCCCAGUGUAGCGGUGAAAUGCAUUGAUAUUGGGAAGAACACCGGUGGCGAAGGCGGCCUUCUGGUCUGUUACUGACGCUGAGAUACGAAAGCCAGGGGAGCAAAGGGG
rnacentral:rRNA from 1 species